rnacentral:lncRNA from 1 species
AAUAAAACAAUGGUUUUGAAAUGAUGAAAAACAUGAAAGGAUUAAAAACGUAAAUAACCCAUCAAUGCUUAAAACCCAUUUCAAAUCCUAAUUAAAAUCUCUAUUCUAUCUGCAACUUCAACAGUCACAUUCAUCUUCUCCUCUGCUUUUCACGCCUAAAUCCCUCCUUCAACUUUGAUUCCGACGAAGCAUAGUAAGGGCAUCGACGGCGCGCCAACACUGGUAAGAACCUCUUCUCUUCCCCUUUUAUUUUCUUUUAGAAACAAGGAAAAAUAAAAAGAAAAACAAAUAAAGAAACCGGGAAAAAGAAGAACCAAAAUCGUCACCUUCAAAACUAUUUUUUUCUGAUCUUUUUUCUCUUGUAUUUUCUUUUAUUUGUUUAAUACAAAACUUUGUCCAACCCUAAUUACAGAAAUCAAUUGGCUUUUUAUAGCCAUAUCCUUUUUUACAAUUUGCUCCCCUUCAGUCACUCCCACUGUUUGUGGUUUAUUGCAGGUAGAAACGGUGUUAUGCGAAACUGCUGAUCGUGGGUGAAGCGACGUGGGAGUGAUGGGCAGUUGCUGCAGCGUGUGAGUAGCGACGUGGGGGCGUGCACGGCGUUAGGGUAGCUGCUGUUAACCACUGUUUAGGGUUAGACUGAGAUUUGGGGUUUGGUUUAGUGAUUUGGGCCGGCCAAAUGUAAUUGGGUUAGAUUGAUUAAUUUGGGCCUCGGGCAUCAAUUGGGUAUUACAAGCUUAAUAAUUAGGGUUGAUAGAGAUUCGAUUUGCAUUGUUUUUGGGAAAAAAUUAGUUACCUAACCAUUUUUGAAAAACAAAUGUUAUUAAUAAAUUAAAACAAAUUCAUAAAUUUAUUAGAAUAUUAAAACAAAUAAAUUCAUAAAUAUUCAAAAUAAAUAUUUAGAUUUUUUAAAAAUAUAUAUUUGAAAAACCAAUAAUAAAAAUGAACUAGAACCUAAUGAAACAAAAAUCCAUUUUUUGUUAAAAAUAAAC